CUACGGGUCGCUCCAGCGAGGAAUUUUGCGCAAUGGGGGGAACCCUGACGCAGCAACGCCGUGUGAGUGAAGAAGGCCUUUGGGUCGUAAAGCUCUGUCAACUGGGAAGAAGUUACUAUGCUUAAAUAGAGUGUAGUAUUGACGGUACCAGUGGAGGAAGCGUCGGCUAACUCCGUGCCAGCAGCCGCGGUAACACGGGGGACGCAAGCGUUAUUCGGAAUUAUUGGGCGUAAAGGGCGCGUAGGCGGUCUUGUCGGUCAGGUGUGAAAGCCCGGGGCUCAACCCCGGACGUGCACUUGAAACAGCAAGACUUGAGUACGGGAGAGGAAAGCGGAAUUCCUGGUGUAGAGGUGAAAUUCGUAGAUAUCAGGAGGAACACCGAUGGCGAAGGCAGCUUUCUGGACCGAAACUGACGCUGAGGCGCGAAGGCGUGGGUAGCGAACGGGAUUAGAUACCCCUGUAGUC
rnacentral:rRNA from 1 species